GGUGUUCUUCCCGAUAUCUACACAUUCCACCGUUACACCGGGAAUUCCAGUCUCCCCUACCGCACUCCAGCCCGCCCGUACCCGGCGCAGACCCACCGUUAAGCGAUGGGCUUUCACACCGGACGCGACGAACCGCCUACGAGCCCUUUACGCCCAAUAAUUCCGGAUAACGCUUGCACCCUACGUAUUACCGCGGCUGCUGGCACGUAGUUAGCCGGUGCUUAUUCGAAAGGUACACUCACCCGAAGGGUUGUUCCCGAUCAAAAGCGGUGUACAACCCGAAGGCGGUUAUCCCGCACGCGGGGUCUCUGCAUCUGGCUUGUGCCCAUUGUGCAAUAUACCCCACUGUUGUCUCCCGUAGGAGUCUGGGGGGUAUAUCAGUCCCAAUGUGGGCGGUCGCCCUCUCAGGCGGGGUACCCGUCGUAAGCUCGGGGGGGGGUUACCCCGCCGAAUACCUGAUAGGAGGCGAGACCAUCCCAUAUCGAUGAAAUUUUCCCAGAACAGCAUGCGAUGGA
rnacentral:rRNA from 1 species